ensembl:lncRNA
CAGAAAAUGAAAUGUGCUCUUUUUUAAGUCAGCAUUUACAGAAGGAAUAACAUCGUCUGAAAACAUGACAGAAACCACUUUUUAAACACUGAGUGAAACACGCUUGUAGGAGAAAUUGAAUGUUUUGUGUCAACAGCUCUGCAGAGGUACAUGCAUGUACGUUCUUUGAGCCUGUCUCAGUAGGAGUCUACCAAUGAGAAGACUACAGCUGUUGAUCAAAGACCAAUGGGAGAUGUUAUUAUAAUCAUUUUUUAAUGCGGGGGGGAAGAAAACGUAAGCUAUUGAAAAGUUGCUAGAAGAUAGAUUUCUUUUUAAAUGGCUGUUUUCAAAAAUUCAGCUAUAUUGUAGCAGUGUAUUUUAAUUGUUGAAAUGUAAGAGUGGUUUUUUUGAUAAUUAAGUAAAAGUUUAUGGAAAAAAGUCUUGAUUUCUGCUAUAUGUUUUCUGCUGUGCUUUUUUUUUCCUAACAUCAUUCCUGGUAUAGGGGGACAAUACUUUCACUCUGAGUUAAUUAGUCUUUUUAAAUAAGAAAUUAUUUCUGUUUUAUAUUUUAAGGAAAACAACAACCCUGAUGGAAACUAAUGACUGUAUCUUUUCCAUUUCCCAUGAAAGCAAGAAAUGGCUGCUGUCCAGUCAACUUUGGGAGGAAAACUGCAACGUUUUGAAGAAGAAAAAUAAAAGGUUGAAAGGAUAUAGAGAUGAAGUAGCGAGAGGAAGCCGGUAAUAAAGUUCAGAAUGAGUCAUCAAAUAUAGCUGAUGUUCUUUUCAGCAUCAGUGUUGUGUGAGACCAAAAAGUAUAGUCAAAUAACAGAUCCUAUCUUCUCUUGGAUCAGAUAAAGAGCUAAUCGUAAGAGAUACAAAGAAAAUGUUUGCAUUCUCUGUCAGGAAUAUGAGGAGAAGGAAAAAGAGACUUGCAAGGAAAGCUUUUUGAAUUUUUCCAAUAUCUAUGUGUCAGGUAAGGUUAAAUUAAAUUGUAUCUUAAUUUCUUAUUACAUCAUUUCUUGAAUGUUGCUGAGAAUUUCCAUUCUUUGUCUUUACUCUGAGGAGGAUCUCCCAGCCGUGAAUAACACACUGUGAAGCACCUCAGGCAGGUUCCUUAGUGACUGGCAUCACAUCUGGCCACAGAUGAAGAGUGAAGGCCACCAAACAUUAAAACCUCUUUCCCCAGCCUCUGUGCGUUAUUGCUCUUGGCAAUUUGGCUGAGUCUCUCUUUGGCUGUGGUAGAGGGCCAGCAGAGAGCUACUGCUUUCUUUUUCAUCCCUGUUAGCUUCACCUGCUGGAAGAUGGCCACUGAGCAAUUUGACCUUUGCUCGUGGUCCAGGGUUGUAGUCUGUAGCACUACUUAUGCCAGAAGCAAGAAGCAUAGCCUACCUAUCUAUGUUGCAAAAGCAGUUGUGUUUGAAG